UUCAAUUCGAUAUUGUGUAAUAGGUGGAUGAGUUGCUGUUUUCAGGUGUAGAUGUUAUAUUAGGCGAACCAUUAGUAACAGUGUUCACAGGAUCGGAGAGGAUCGUCAAGCGGGUAAUCUAGCUGAUUUUGUGGUAGCCUGAGCAUUUAUCCUUGCUUUGUUAUGUCUGCUUUUGUACUCUUGGUUUGGAUUUGGAUCUCAACAGGUGAAGGGGUGAUUUCAAGCGGUGUGUACGUAAAAUUUGCCUGAGGUUUUGUCUGAGAUCUGUUUAUUGGAGGGCAUCGGUCAGCUGUGUUAUUAUCAUGAUGUAGUUGUGUGCUGUCCAUCUGACGCGAUCACAUGGCCAAUGACACGACUGUAAUCUUUUGUUUCAAGCGGAGAUUUCAGUAUGCAACAGGUUGCUUAUUAAUAUUGUAACAUGAAACGCUAAGUUACGCAUGCGACUUGGGUACUGCAAUUCGCAGCUAAUCGAUUCCGUGGACUCCAUGUUUGAGUCUCUCAGUUUGUGUGGACUUCAGGCUGCAGUCUCUCAGCUUCCGGAGGUAUAAUUCGGCGAGUAGUUAUAGUCGAUUAGGGUUUACUUCGAUUAAAUUGCAUCUAGUUAAUUUAUCAUCGACAACGUGCCUCAUCAUGAAGGGUAAAGAAAUGAACUAUUCAUAAUCUUUCUCUUCAUAUGCACAUACUCGAAAAUUCAUAUUGUUAUUUUGACAGAGUUUGACACAAUCUAGAAAGAGUUGGAAAUUAAACAAUCGAAUUUCAGAGCACGUGUUCUAAAUCUUAGUCAAAUGUGGGUCUCAUCAAACGAGUCCCUGACGUCUUUGUAGCUGGUGGUUGAAUCUAUAGCUAUAACAAUGCGGAGAAGUUACGUGCUCAGCAAUGUAAACACAUAUACAAUCUACACGCCAGAGUGUUAUCUGUGAGACAAGUCAAAUUGGUGAAUGCGACCACUUUUGUGCAGAGAAAAAACUUCAGCUCACAGCAAGAAGGGUGUCUCGAGGGGCACAUGGGCAUUUGAUCGCAUUCACUGGGGAAUGAAAGCAGACAAGAUGAAUCGAUUACCAACUAUGAAGUCGGAAAGCGCGGAGGCCCUGAAGAUUGGCCUCACCAUGGAACUUGAGCCACCAGUGUUCGAUAGCGCUGGUAGCGCUGAGGAUUGGCGCAAGGCGCUCAACAAGGUAGUACCUGCAGUGGUCGUGCUCCGCACUACCGCUACACGCGCGUUUGACACAGAAGUGGCGGGGGCCAGCUAUUCCACCGGCUUUGUAGUUGACAAGAAGCGGGGAAUACUUCUCACAAAUCGCCAUGUUGUUAAGCCUGGACCCAUAGUGGCUGAAGCCAUGUUCGUGAACCGAGAGGAAAUUUCAGUGUAUCCUCUUUACCGAGACCCAGUUCACGAUUUUGGUUUCCUCUGGUUUGACCCAAGCUUGGUUCAGUUUUUAGAUUACGAGGAAAUUCCUCUUGCACCAGAUGCGGCCCAGGUGGGGCUUGAGAUCCGUGUCGUAGGUAAUGACAGCGGGGAGAAGGUGUCAAUACUCGCGGGGACACUUGCACGACUUGACCGCGACGCGCCACACUACAAGAAGGAUGGAUAUAACGAUUUCAACACAUUCUAUAUGCAGGCCGCCUCAGGAACCAAGGGUGGUUCCAGCGGCUCCCCUGUUAUUGACAUCCAUGGUCGGGCAGUUGCGCUUAACGCAGGAAGCAAAUCUGCUUCUGCCUCUGCUUUUUUUCUUCCUCUGGAACGAGUAGUGCGGGCUCUUCAUCUGUUGCAAGCGCAGAAAGAUAAAUCUCUCAAGGGAUGGACACCCGCUGCAAUUCCCCGCGGAACUUUUCAGUUGACUUUUUCUCACAAAGGAUUCGACGAAAUUCGUCGACUUGGCUUGAAGAGGGACACAGAGCAGAUGGUUCGGAAGGCUUCACCUCCCUCCGAAACUGGUAUGCUUGUGGUGGAGUCAGUGGUACCAGGAGGCCCUGCACACAAGCAGCUAGAGCCAGGGGAUGUGCUUGUAAGAGCCGGUGGUGAAGUGUUAACCCAGUUUUUGAAGUACGAAACUUUACUGGACGAUAAUGUGGGUAAGUCCGUCAUCUUGGAGCUGGAGCGAGGAGGAACAACUAUCAAUGUGACGAUUGAAGUGCAGGAUUUGCACUCCAUCACUCCUAAUAUGUUCCUUGAAGUGAGCGGUGGAGUAAUCCACGCGCUUUCCUACCAACAAGCUCGCAACCUGCACUUUGUCUGCGGUAUUGUGUACGUCGCAGAGCCUGGAUAUAUGCUGUCUCGCGCAGGGGUGCCCAAGCAUGCCAUAAUUAAGAAGAUGGCAGGAGAGGAAAUUGUCAAUCUUGACAGCUUUAUCUCAGUUUUCUUUAAACUCUCGAAAGGGGCGCGUGUUCCGCUGGAGUUUGUGAGCCAUGCCGACAGACAUCGAAGCAAGUCGGUUAUAGUCACAAUUGACCGCCAUGAGUGGUAUGCACCCCCUCGGAUUUACACCCGAAAUGACGCCACUGGAUUGUGGGAUAUUCGUCCUGCAGCCCCCAGCCCCGAGGUCCCUUCGGUAGCUCUCAAAGCCAACCAUAUGGAGGCAGACGGUGUCGCUGUCCAUGUGGGUAACGGAGUCGUCAAGGAAGGAGAUAAUGGCGAAACUGUCGUUAUUUAUGAGCUGCAGGUAGAAGCUGUUACAAGGCGUCAAAAAGUCGACUCAGAGCUCCCUAUUGAUCUCCCUGUUCCCACCAUCAAGGGUAAAUUGGACGCCACAUCUAGGCAUGGGAGUGGCAUCGCUCCAGAAACUAGCUCAUCCAUUGCAGAGCACGUCAUUGAGCCCACUCUGGUCAUGAUGGAGGUUCACAUCCCGCCCUCAGCCAUGCUGGACGGUGUUCAUGCGCAACAUUCUUUCGGCACUGGAGUUAUUGUGUACCACUCGAAAGACCUCGGGCUGGUGGCAGUGGACAAGAACACGGUGGCCAUCUCAGUCUCAGAUGUCAUGUUGAACUUCGCCGCCUUCCCUAUGGAUAUCCCUGGCGAAGUGGUCUUCUUGCAUCCCGUACACAAUUAUUCGUUAGUGGCGUAUAAUCCCAGAGCUUUGGGUGAAGUGGGAAUGGCUGCGGUGCAGGCAGCUGUCCUCUUACCAGAUCCUCCAUUGCGAAGAGGAGAUUUUGUUUACCUUGUUGGGCUAUCGAGGAGCUUGCAAGCAACAUCACGGAAGUCCACAGUGACCAACCCUGGAGAAGCUCUCAAUGUGGCAGCAGCCGAUUGCCCCAGGUACCGUGCGCUGAACAUGGAGGUUAUUGAGCUAGACACCGACUUCGGUCACAACUUUUCUGGGGUCUUGGCCGAUGAGGCUGGCCGAGUUCAAGCCCUCUGGGGUAGUUUCUCGAAGCAGGUGAAAUAUGGAGAUAGCUCUCCUGAAGACCACCAGUUCGUGCGAGGAAUACCAAUCCAUGCAAUAUCCGAGGUUUUGGACGUGAUUGUGAGUGGGAUGUCUGGAGGUCCUUCCUUGGUUAUCAACGGCGUGAAGCGGUCCAUGCCUCUCAUGCGUAUUCUCGAGGCGGAGCUUUACCCCACUUUAUUGUCCAAGGCGCGAAGUUUUGGCCUCAGCGACAAAUGGGUGCAGGCAUUGGCGGACAAGGACACUAUUCGACGGCAGGUGCUGCGUGUGAAGGGGUGUUUGGCGGGGUCACGAGCACACGGCGUUCUAGACCAGGGUGACAUGUUGUUAGCAAUCAGCGGGCAACCUGUGACGUGCUUCCGGGAUGUUGAGAUUGCCUGCGAGGCAACCAAGUCAGACAUCUCCGGCACUGUUUCGCCAGGAUCUUUGGAUGUCACGUUGUUUAGACAGGGACGUGAGAUUAACAUACAGGUCGGGAUUGACGACCGCGAUGGGUUUGGGACGACCAGAAUGAUCAACUGGGCUGGAUGUGUUUUGCAAGAGCCGCACUCUGCAGUCCGAGCGCUGGGAUUUCUACCUCAGCAGGGUCACGGAGUCUAUGUAGUAAGGUGGUGCCAUGGUAGCCCCGUCCACAGAUAUGGUCUUUACGCGCUUCAAUGGAUUGUGGAGGUCAAUGGUAAGCCCACUCCAAGCCUCCAAGAUUUCGUGGAUGUGACACAGGAGUUGGAGCAUGGGGCUUUUGUGCGCGUCAAGACCGUGUACUUGAAUGGGAAGCCUCGAGUGUUGACAGUGAAGCAGGAUCUCCACUACUGGCCUACAUGGGAGCUUCGCUUUGAUCCCACAACUGCAAUGUGGCGUCGUCAUGUUAUCAAAUCACAUUGAAACCAGAUUGUUGGAUGCCGUUUGCACAACUGGCAUCUGCCGUGGAAGCCCAUCUCUCAGACAUCCACAUCAAAAUAAUCAACAUCAAAAAAAGGCUGGAUGUGUUUUGCAUUAAGCGUAUGAAGCAACCGCAACAAGGGAGGAUUGUACAGUGGCAUUGAUAAGGUGAGCAAAGUUGGCCCUGGUUUAACUUACCAUCGAAUCGCAAGCUGACAGCGCUCCCGUCUUCAAGCUUUGUUUCCUUCAAGGUGCUGCGCCAUUACUUCAGUUUCAAUAAGAACAAAACAUACAGAACCUGAAGGUCUCUUAACACACACUGGAAAGCGUCGGGAGCUUAGACAAACGGUGACGCACGUGCAUGUGCCGCACAACCCAACUUUCCAUUGCAGAAUGCUUGUGCUCUCACAGACUGAACGCAAGCAAGUAAGCAAGCAAGCACAGAAAUCAGUUACAGACUUCAGCCUAAAUCUUUAGGUACCCAAGUGCAUUUCAUUUGAGAUUCAUUAUGGAAGCCAAGAAGGUUCUCUUUUGCAGGAUUUUGUUUCCACUUCAUUGUUCAUAAUUAGAUGGAAAAUAGCAUUAUGGAGCUAGCAUGAUUUGUGGAGCAAAAUGUGGUGGUGUGAUUAGAAUUGUUUCUAUUUGUCACCUGAAAGUUUUUUGGUUAUUUA